rnacentral:rRNA from 1 species
CCUUGCCAGCCCGCUCAGAACUUAAAUGAAUUGACGGGGCCGCACAAGCGGUGGGGCAUGUGGUUUAAUUCGAUGAUACGCGAGGAACCUUACCUGGGCUCAAAUGUAUGUUGACGUAUUCUGAAAGGGAUACUUCUUCGGACAAUAUACAAGGUGCUGCAUGGUUGUCGUCAGCUCGUGCCGUGAGGUGUCGGGUUAAGUCCCAUAACGAGCGCAACCCCUAUCAUUAGUUGCCAUCAGGUCAAGCUGGGGACUCUAAUGAAACUGCCUACGCAAGUAGUGAGGAAGGUGGGGAUGACGUCAAAUCAGCACGGCCCUUACGUCCAGGGCUACACACGUGCUACAAUGGCCGGUACAAAGGGCAGCUACCUGGUGACAGGAUGCUAAUCUCAAAAGCCGGUCUCAGUUCGGAUCGGAGUCUGCAACCCGACUCCGUGAAGUUGGAUUCGCUAGUAAUCGCGCAUCAGCCAUGGCGCGGUGAAUACGUUCCCGGGCCUU